rnacentral:misc_RNA from 1 species
GAUGAAGAACGUAGCGAAAUGCGAUAAGUAAUGUGAAUUGCAGAAUUCAGUGAAUCAUCGAACCUUUGAACGCACAUUGCGCCCGCCAGUAUUCUGGCGGGCAUGCCUGUUCGAGCGUCAUUUCAACCAUCAAGCCCCCGGCUUGUGUUGGGGACCUGCGGCUGCCGCAGGCCCUGAAAACCAGUGGCGGGCUCGCUAGUCACUCCGAGCGUAGUAAUACAUCUCGCUCAGGGCGUGCUGCGGGUUCCGGCCGUUAAAAGCCUUAUUUACCCAAGGUUGACCUCGGAUCAGGUAGGAAGACCCGCUGAACUUAAGCAUAUCAAUAAGCGGAGGA